CCUAGUGGUGAUAGCGGAGAGGAAACACCCGUUCCCAUCCCGAACACGGAAGUUAAGCUCUCCAGCGCCGAUGGUAGUUGGGGCCAGCGCCCCUGCAAGAGUAGGUCGUUGCUAGGC
rnacentral:rRNA from 1 species